GAUUGAUUCAAAACCUCCCUCUCAUUUUUCCUUUCCUGACAAACAUUUGGCUUAAUCUCGGAGUCCUCACUACAACCAGACUGAAAGUUGUAUGGUACGAUGCGAGGUGAUCCAGGUGUGAAGACUAAACUUUCAUUUAUCAAAGUUAUCUGAUGCUUUGGAUGUCUCACAAGGUCAUCAGUGUGCACACCUGCAUAACUUCCCUGCUCACAAGGGCCAGGAAAAGAUAAGGAUGUUGCUGUAUAAAGACAGAAGAGGCAGAAAGGACUACAAGUUUUCUGCUGGGAAAGAUGUGGAGACAUGUGAAAGGUCAGUCUGCGUUAACAUCUCAAAUUCCCAAAGAUGAUUGGUUGCAGCUAAGCAGAUUUCCCCUCCCCACAAGAACCUUCUGAGGUAGAUUUGUCCUCAUGGUAAUGACGGUCCCAAGAAGACUGAGUAGGGUUCAAGGUUUUAUGGAAAUUUGAACACAAUGUUUUGACAUCUCACAACCACAUAAACUGGAAAAGAUUUCAAAGACUGUGGCCAACAAAGCAGUUCACUCACAAUCCCUACCUCUCAGACAAAGAACUCAUUUGCUUUUGAGUGAGAACUGUUCAAAUCAUUGGGCUUUCCAGGGGGACGGCUGGUGCCCUGCCUCAAGACACAGAGAAAUGCUUAGCUUACUUCUGUUUUCUGAGGCAUUUCGACUUUCCCUUUUCUGAAACGUUAUCACCUUCAACUGCUUGAGCACGCUCUCUGUUUCGCUAGCAAUCUGUUACUGAUCUCCCACUUUCAUCCCUCCACAGAUAUAUCCUAAUGAAAUCAUUAUGGCAGAACUGUUGGUUUUCAUCCGCUUUUACUCCUUCAGUAUACGGUGAUAAUGAUCUCAUUUUAUUUUUUGAUACACUGACACUGCAGCUGUCUCUUUUUUCCCAUAAAAAACCUGAAUCCGUAUUUUAUGUUUAUUUAAACAAAUAUAUUUAAUUAUUCAAAUCACACUGCUUGUAUAAUCCUAUUCAAUGUGAAAACAUUUGAUUAUCAGAUAGCGG